ACUUUUGUGAGACAAAAUUCAAUAUUGUCUCACAAAAGUCAAUUUUGUGACGACAAAAAUCAAUUUUGUGACGACAAAAUUGACUUUUGUGAGACAAAAUUGACG
rnacentral:sRNA from 1 species